rnacentral:rRNA from 1 species
AUGGCGGGUGGACCUGUUUACCUGCUGCAUCUAAAGACCGAUGUGGUGGGUUUGCCUCGUUUCGGUGGGCGAAAAGAUGGAAACAAAGCGAUGGAAAUAUCUGCCUCGUCAGCCCUCUUUCUCAGGGGAAAAGAUCUCUCUCUCUCCCUCGUCUCUUCCCAUCCCCCUCCUCUUCCCUAUGCCGCCGCCACCACUUCCCCUACCCUCUCGGACGCCUCGUCUCUUCCACCUCCGCCUCCAUCACCUCCUCCCCUGCCUCCGCACCCGACCACGCGCUAUGGACGAGGACGAGGAGGCAACAGCUCGAGAGGCAGGCAAGAGGAAAACGGGAGGGAUCCCCUCCCGAGCCCCGCGCCUCCCCUCUUUCCCACUGCGCCGCCAGCCCCUUUCCCUCCCUUCGCCGCUGCUAUAGCUCCUCCCUGA